rnacentral:lncRNA from 10 species
UUAUGUCUUGUAUUACGGAAAUCAUUCAAUUUUUCACCAGAGAAUAAGGAUGACUACAAUUCAAAAGGCUGACCUAUCCAGGUGAAGAUGAGAGUGUGCAGCAUUGGAAAUUCUUACACAUUGCUGGAGAUUUAGAAGCUAAAGAAAGAGGACAAAUGAUUUGGAAGCAAAGAUAAGAAGGAAGAAGGAGAUGGGGUCUCGCCAUGUUUCCCAGGCUGGUCUCAAACUCCUAGAUUCAAGCGAUCCACCUGCCUUGGCCUCCCAAAGUGCUGGCAUUAUAGGCAUGAGGCACCAUGCCAGGCCUGUUUUGAAAUUUCAUACAUAUUUAUAAAACAUAUUUUCAGGAUGAGAGAAUAUACGAAGAAGUUACAUAGCAUUGUGUAUCUGUAUAGAAUAAAAAUGAUCUAAAUCAAUGUCAUCAGACCAUGGCUUUAUAGACACCAUCUUCUAGUCAAAUCACUCAUCUGUUUUUACCCAGUACUCAUACUGUGGGAAAAGUGUAGGGGCACAGAACAGUGAACACUUUCGGGAAUGUUGGAAUCAUUCUGUAUUAGAAUUUUAUUCUUAUAAAAAAUGUUGGUGAAUCAGUCUGGAUUAGGUCAUGGAAACAACACACCAUCAAUCAUCACGGAAAGAAGGUGUUUCAUGUGGGAAUUUUAAGAAUAUAGGACAAACAGGAUGUGGGAGAGAUGGGGUUUCAAGGUCUGAUAAGGGAAUAUUUGGUGGGAUAAAGAAAUAGUGACGAAGCACUUCAGCCUGAAGAGACUUCUUAGAAACCUAUCAGGCCCAUAUUUCCUUCUCCCAAAAGGCAAAAAUAGUACUUAAGUUAUCCUCACCAGGAGAUUUGGCUACAGAAAUGAAUAACCCAAUUUUUAAUCUAUUCAGCUAGUCUCACCACUGCUACCCAAAGAGCUACCUGAGAGUCUUGGAGACACAACUGAACACCAAUGAUAAUCUCUUAGAUUAUAGCUGGGGAUAUUACCAAAGAUGUGAUUUACCCAGAAGGAUUAACUCUAGUGAAGCAGCUAGAUCAGGAAGGUUACUGGGGUCCGAGUUUGGACUAUGCCCUGCUUGGAAUGAGAAUAUGGUCAGAAAUCUUGUACUGUUAAUAGAAUGACUGCUCCACUGGCCAAACCAUCAGAGCACAGCAGAAGUCCCAAACUCCCUUGCUCAUGUGGUCCUAGACAACUACAUUGUUUUUGACUGUCUUCUUGCUGUACAGGGUGAUGUUUGUGCUGUUGCUAACAUUUGCUGCUGCACCUGGGUAAAUACAUCUAGUUAGAUUGAAUUGGACACAUCUAAGAUCCUAAAGUUAGCUAAAUCUCUGAAUGGGACACCUUCAAAAAGCCUCCUGGCUGGACUUCCUGGCUUGAAUUUACAAUUUCCAGAUAUUUUCAGCUGGCUUUUGUCUCUAGUCUAGGAUACCUUCUGUGUUCCAUCCUACAGAUCUUAAUGAUCCUUCUAUUUGGGCUAAUCAUUUGGGUACUCUUUUGAAUUGUUCUAGCCUGUUUUUUUUGUUUGUUUGUUUUGUUUUGUUUGGAGAUGGAGUUUCACACUUGUUGCCCAGGCUGGAGUGCAAUGGUGGGAUCUCGGCUCACUGCAACCUCCACCUCCUUGGUUCAAGCGAUUCUCCUGCCUCAGCCUCCCGAGUAGCUGGGAUUACAGGCACGCACCACCACACCCGGCUAGUUUUGUAUUUUUAGUAGAGAUGCAUUUUCUUCAUGUUGCUCAGGCUGGUCUCAAACUCCUGACCUCAGGUGAUCCGCCCACUUCGGCCUCCCAGUGUGCUGAGAUUACAGGUGUGAGCCACUGCGCCCAGCUCUUCUAGCCUGUUUUAACAGAUAUCUGCAAGAGGCUUGGAUCAUGCUGACCUAACCCAGGAAAUUUUAAAUUUACUCCAGACAGGAACCAGAAUCAACAUAACCUACGAGACUUUGAUUAGAAUCUAACAGGUACCUGAGUGCCUUUUGUAAGUAAAUGGCUCUAGUUGCUCAAUUGGCCACUGCUCUGCCACCAGGAUCCCUAGAAGAGACCAGAUAAACCUGAAGCACGUAGCUAAUCACUUCCAUGCCGUGAUGGAAUGCAGUGCUGUCUGCCAACAAGUUUGAGCCAGUCUUUCAAGAUGCAUCCUGAGUGGCUAACUGGGCCUGCAUUUCAAGUUGAGCCAAGGGACCAUUUGCUAACGAGGGGACACACACAUGUUCUGAGUUCACCCAAAACACAUACCUUAUUAUUUUGGGGCUUUUCAGCCCACCUGCCUCUGCUAAUCAGGGCUCAGCUGUAUUGACCCAUUAGAACUCAGCUGGGUUGACCAAUCAGAACUAAGUGAGUUUGGAGUUUUAAUUCUCAAUUGAAUGAACAGACCUGAUUGGGAACCUGCGUGGGAACUUUGGCUAUUAAACCUGAGCAUUCUUUCUGUUCUCUGGAAGAAAUAAUGUUUAAGUUGCUAACACUUUAUGCAUUUUCCUAAAAUUGAAUCAAACAACUCCUUUUGAAACAUAACCCUGAUAUCAGGGAAGUCGUACAACACCGUGCUAAAUAAUUUUAUACCUCUAACCAAGGUCUGUGCCCUAAUCAGCAGGAAGUGCCAGAGUGUCUGUCACCCAUUCUCCCUCAAGAUUGAGAAAUGAACAAUGAAAAAAGGGGGAUUUGAAAAUGCAGAACCAGCCCAAUGUGGUUCAAGUUUGUGUAAUAAAAUAAUGCGUUGUUUUACUGUUGCCACGGUCUCCUGGUUUCAAGUUAUGUUACCUGAGCAUGCCCAGACACACUCUGCAUGCAACCACGGUGGAACCUAAGUACUUGGACCAAGGAGCAGGGCUGAUUUAAGAAGGAGACACCUCAGGGCUUAAUCUGUGAUCUGAUCAGAUCCAGCCCUGACAUCACCUCAUGGCACGAUGCAGUCAGAUCUUACCUCAUUACCCUCUGUCUAUAAAACCUGCCCCAACCCCCAGAUCUGAGAGACAAAUUUUUAGAUAUGCUUUCCCCCAUCUCCUUCCUAGUUGAAUAAAAAUAAACCUUUCCCUCUACAAAACCCUUGUGCUUCCUUGUUUGGCUUUCCAUUGCAAUCAGGCAAACGGCCUGCAUUGCUUUAGGUAACUGACACUCCCAAGACUCAAGGAGCUGCCGCGCAGCACUAUUUUGAAAGCCCAGCCCCCAUCAGACUGUAUCUUGCUCUGGGGCCCAACAGCCCCAGCAUCUCCACUUCCCUGGAGCCCUGCGGACAUCUCUUCAUUUCCACCCAGAGGGCUGCAACUUUGUCCCGUGGGCUGAAUCCAGUGGUGCAGUAAGGAACAGGCAGUGCACCACACCAGGGAGACUGCCCCCAGGACAAAGGGAGCCCAAAUGCACACUCCUCAGUUUCUGAAAGCCACUUGCCCGGGGCCACUGCCACCGACAGCAACCCUCUCAACUUUCCACCCGAAGCAGGGCCACCAAGCAUCUGCAUGUGCCUCCCAUGGUCCUGGAGCUGGUCUGCCCAGACGCAGUUCUGUGUCCUGAGGACAGGCUCUCACACCACCCGUCACGCAAACAUGGUGCCCAGGGCCUGGGGAUCAUGCUGCCUCAACUGUAGCUGCGGGCGUGUGCCCACAACAUCAGGAAGUGUGACAGCAGGCCCAGGUCACCUGCCACUGGCACCCAAGCAUGCCAUCCAGGAGCUUGGUGAUUGUUCGGCCACACUCGCCAUAGCCUGCACCCUUGCACGCCAUUGGAGGGCCUAAGGACGGGAAAGCAACAUGCCUCCCUGGAGAGAGCUUGAUUCUGUUCUGGCAUAUGUUAGAGAAAAGUACUAAACCAAGUCAGAUGGUUUGGAAUGUGGUCUAAUUUUUUAUUUUUUUUUAGACGGAGUCUCGCUCUGUCGCCCAGGCUGGAGUACAGUGGCGCGAUCUCGGCUCACUGCAAGCUCCGCCUCCUAGGUUCACGCCAUUCUCCUGCCUCAGCCUCCAGAGUAGCUGGGACUACAGGCGCCCGCCACAACGCCCGGCUAAUUUUUUGUAUUUUUAGUAGAGACAGGGUUUCACCGUGUUAACCAGGAUGCUCUCCAUCUCCUGACCUCAUGAUCCGUCCUCCUCGGUCUCCCAAAGUGCUGGGAUUACAGGCGUGAGCCACAGCGCCUGGCCAGAAUAUGGUCUAAAUAUUAAUACUACCAAACUGGGGAGGAAGUAACUUAAUUUUGCUGAUUUUUCAUUUUCUUAUACUUUAUUGGUUUACAAAGAAACCAUUAUUUGCUUUUAAUGGCAGAGUUAUUCUUUUCUACUGUGAAGUUACUUCAACUCAUAAAAAUGUAUUUUAUUUACACCUUUGUAGCAAUGGAGCUUGGAAGAAAAUAUAAAGCAUAUCUACAUGAACAUUUCAUCUAGUAUUCUGUGUUCUCACCUGGUCUUCUAUAAAGUUUCAGUUCAAGUGAAGAAACAGUGCUUGGCAGCACCAUGCUCUAUUGUGAAAGGAGGCAUUUGCCGUGUGAUUGGAUCACAGGUAGUUCAAGGUAACAAAAGGCCUCAAAGCAAUUAGGAAAGACAGGAUUAUUAAUGUGGAUUUAAUGGCAUUAGCUGCUUCCUUGCUUUUUUCUCACUGUGUUAUUUUGAAUAACCGCAUAGUUUUUUCAAGAUUGUAAUAUAUAUAGUCUAAUCCAUAUGAUUUUUAUACAUGUGAGUAACACAAUGCAGGUAUAUAAAACUCUGACCAAUGUUUCUGUAAAACAGAGUUCUGCAAACUAUGGCUUAUGGGUGCCAUCCUGUUAUUGAAAGUAAAAAUUGAUUGGAACAUAGCCACACCUAUUGGUUUAUGUAUUUUCUAUGGCUGUGUUUGCACUACAUGCAGAGCUGAGUAAUUCAGACAGAGACUGUAUGACCUGCAAAGCCAUAAAUCGUUACUAUCUGGUAUUUUACAGAAAAGAUUACCAGCCAUUGCCAUAAAGAGUAAAACCUUAUUUUCUGAUAAAAAUAACUGCAAAAAAGAAAAUCAGAAAUAAGAAGCCUAGUGAAAUACAUUGUAUUUUCAGUUCAAAAAUAAUUUUUAAUUGCUAUAAGAAACAUCAACCACUUUCCUAGGACUUUUCACACAUAAGACAAAG